CAGCAGCAGCCGCGGUAAUACGAAGGGGGCUAGCGUUGUUCGGAUUUACUGGGCGUAAAGCGCACGUAGGCGGACUUUUAAGUCAGGGGUGAAAUCCCGGGGCUCAACCCCGGAACUGCCUUUGAUACUGGAAGUCUUGAGUAUGGUAGAGGUGAGUGGAAUUCCGAGUGUAGAGGUGAAAUUCGUAGAUAUUCGGAGGAACACCAGUGGCGAAGGCGGCUCACUGGACCAUUACUGACGCUGAGGUGCGAAAGCGUGGGGAGCAAACAGGAUUAGAUACCCCAGUAGUCCCUGUCUCUUAUAC
rnacentral:rRNA from 1 species